GUCUAUAUGAAGGUGUAUAAAGUCUAACCUGCCCAUUGAAUAAAUUUAAAAGGCCGCGGUAUUUUGACUGUGCAAAGGUAGCAUAAUAAUUAGUUUUUUAAUUGAAAACUUGUAUGAAUGGUUGGACAAAGAAAAAGCUGUCUUUGAUAAUUUUUUUGAAUUUUACAUUUAAGUGAAAAGGCUUAAAUAUAUUUAAAGGACGAUAAGACCCUAUAAAUCUUUACAUUUAUUUAUAUUUGUAUAAUUUAGAUUAAAAUAAUUAAAAUGUUAAAUAAGAUGUUUUAUUGGGGUGAUAAAGAUAUAAUUAUAAACUGUCUUAAUAUUUAAACAAAUGUGUUUGAUGAAUAAAAGAUCCUUUUUAAAGAUUAAAAGUUAAAGAUACUUUAGGGAUAACAGCGUAAUUUCUUUUGAGAGUUCUUAUCGAAAAAGAAGUUUGCGACCUCGAUGUUGAAUUAAAAUUUUUCCUUGUGGUGCAGAAGUUAUAAAGGAGAGUCUGUUCGACUUUUAAAUUUUU
rnacentral:rRNA from 1 species